rnacentral:lncRNA from 1 species
GAAGUUCCCUAUUCAUUCUGGUGGACAGUGAUUUGGGGAGAGAAUUUCUCUCUUUCCUGGAUCUUCUAAGGACUUUACAACUGGAUGUCUGCAGUCUGACCCACCAAGGACUCUGUCUGGAAAUUAGCCACUGUUCAACUACCAAAGCCUCUCAGGACUGAAUGCUCUGUUCUAGAAGCAGUUAGGCAGCAAAAUGGAUAGAGCCCUAGACCUGGAGUGAGGAAAACCCAGAUUCGAAUCUAGCUUCAGAUACUUAGGAGCUAUGUGACCCUGUGUAAGUCACUUUAACCACAAAAUGGAGAUAAUAACAUCUUCCUUCCAGGAUUAUUGUGAAUAUUAUCUGAGAUAAUAUUUAUAAAGCACCUGGCACACAAUACUUACGGGAAGCUCUUUGUCUUAUGGGGGUAUUGUUGGCUUUUAAUUUUUAACCUCAGCAGUGGCAGCAAUAGACUUCAAAUGGAGUGGGGAAAGCAGCCUGCUCAUCAAGAAGGGUAAGUAGUUCAUUGUUUUUUCAUUAAGGCCUAAAAUUACUGAUCAGAGCAGGUGCGAUAUUAUCAUUUAAUUUGUCUCUAUUCAAUUUUUUAGGCUGCAAGGGCUCUCCUGAGCCUCAGGGGGCACUAGCAAAAACCUGCUCCAGGCACCAAUCAUCUCAAUGACUUGCAAAAUCCAAUGGAACUAGCAAGCAACUGACCUACCAUAACUGAAGCAUUCCCCACAAUGAGCUCACUGGGGAGACUUCCACCAGG